UACGGAGGGUGCAAGCGUUAUCCGGAUUCACUGGGUUUAAAGGGUGCGUAGGCGGCCAACUAAGUCAGACGUGAAAUCCCUCGGCUUAACCGGGGAACUGCGUCUGAUACUGGAUGGCUUGAGUUUGGGAGAGGGACGCGGAAUUCCAGGUGUAGCGGUGAAAUGCGUAGAUAGUACUGGAGGAACACCGGUGGCGAAGGCGGCGUCCUGGACCAACACUGGACACUGAUG
rnacentral:rRNA from 1 species